AGUGAACGCUGGCGGUAGGCCUAACACAUGCAAGUCGAACGGCAGCACAGUAAGAGCUCGCUCUUACGGGUGGCGGGUGGCGGACGGGUGAGGAAUACAUCGGAAUCUACUUUUUCGUGGGGGAUAACGUAGGGAAACUUACGCUAAUACCGCAUACGACCUACGGGUGAAAGCAGGGGAUCUUCGGACCUUGCGCGAUUGAAUGAGCCGAUGUCGGAUUAGCUAGUUGGCGGGGUAAAGGCCCACCAAGGCGACGAUCCGUAGCUGGUCUGAGAGGAUGAUCAGCCACACUGGAACUGAGACACGGUCCAGACUCCUACGGGAGGCAGCAGUGGGGAAUAUUGGACAAUGGGCGCAAGCCUGAUCCAGCCAUACCGCGUGGGUGAAGAAGGCCUUCGGGUUGUAAAGCCCUUUUGUUGGGAAAUAAAAGCAGCAGGUUAAUACCCCGCUGUUCUGACGGUACCCAAAGAAUAAGCACCGGCUAACUUCGUG
rnacentral:rRNA from 1 species